GUCGCCGAAUCUUUCACCAGGUUGAAUGCCCUCAGUUGCCCAAAACUCAUCAGCAGUUCCUUCACCUGUAUAUAAAAAUACCAUUAAUAAUUCUAUCGGGUUUCCACCUAACGGUUGACUAAUUGGAAAUUAUAAUUAUUCAUUAUUUAAAACAAUCCCUUCACAAUCAUCCGUUCUUGAUUACAAGUCUCAUCUUUUCAUUUCUUCUUCAUUACCAAAUACUUACCGACACUGUAAUCACCGUAUCUUUACCUCUCUCUCUAGGGAUUUAAUUGCUAAUUUUUACAAUCAUUUUCUUUAAGCGAUUUCUAAUAAGAAUAACAGCACGUUGCCUACAACGUGUGAAUUUAAAAUAAUUUAAUAUCCGGUAAAUUAAUUUGAUAAAUUAUUUAA